rnacentral:ncRNA from 1 species
UUACCCGCAAACCUUUUUAAGUUCGUGUAGAGUACUUACUUAGCUUAAGUAAUAGUAAUUAGUUGUAAAUUAUAUUAACAUACAAAUUUUUGUGUGAUGAUUGAAAUCUUAAUGAUUGUAUUGGUUUUAGUAGUUUUUAGUUUUAAGUUUUAUUAAAGUAAUUUAGAAUUAGAUAAUUUUAUUAAAGGUGCAAAAAGUUGUGCCAGCAUGUGCGGUUAUACUUCUACCUUGAAUUAAUUUUUUUGAUUAUGGAAUUAAUGAAGUAUAUUGAAAUUAAUAUUAAGAAUAUAAGGUGAAAUUUAAUUUUUAAUUAAAUUUUUGGUUACAGAUUUAUUUUAAAAUCAAUUUUUAGACUAGGAUUAGAUACCCUAUUAUUUUGAUUGUAAUUUUUAUCAUAUUAUUAAUAGUUAUAUCUUAUAAAAUAAAAAGGCUUGGCGGUAAUUUAAUCUUUUUAGAGGAACCUGUUCAGUAAUUGAUAUUCCACGUUAUAUUUUACUUUUAUUUAGCUUGUAUACCUCUGUCAUUGAAUGUCUUAUUAGGGUAUUUUCGGGAUUUAAUUUAUUAAUAAAUGUCAAGUCAAGGUGCAGCAAUAUAAAAGUUGAAAUGGGUUACAUUUUGUGUUUAUAAUUGGAAUUAUAUAUUUGUUUAUAUUGGAAAUUGGAUUUAAAAGUAAAUUUUAUUAAUUAAUAAUUUUGAUUUUAGCUCUGAAUUAUGUACAUAUCGCCCGUCACUCUCAUAUUUAAUGUGGGAUAAGUCGUAACAAAGUAAUUUUACUGGAAAGUGAGGUUAGAAUA